AGAGUAGUCGGUCGUCCCUUGUGGUCGGUGUACAGUGGUGCAUGGUUGUCGUCAGCUCGUGUCGUGAGAUGUUGGGUUAAGUCCCGCAACGAGCGCAACCCUCGUCCUAUGUUGCCAGCGGGGUCAUGCCGGGGACUCAUGGGAGACUGCCGGGGUCAACUCGGAGGAAGGUGGGAUGACGUCAAAUCAUCAUGCCCCUUAUGUCUUGGGCUUCACGCAUGCUACAAUGGCCGGUACAAAGGGCUGCGAUACCGCGAGGUGGAGCGAAUCCCAGAAAGCCGGUCUCAGCUCGGAUUGGGGUCUGCAACUCGACCCCAUGAAGUCGGAGUCGCUAGUAAUCGCAGAUCAGCAACGCUGCGGUGAAUACGUUCCCGGGCCUU
rnacentral:rRNA from 1 species